UGGGUAGUCCGCACNAGCGCACCUUGNUCAUUAGUUGCUACGAAAGGGCACUCUAAUGAGACUGCCGGUGACAAACCGGAGGAAGGUGGGGAUGACGUCAAGUCCUCAUGGCCCUUAUGGGUAGGGCUUCACACGUCAUACAAUGGUACAUACAGAGCGCCGCCAACCCGCGAGGGGGAGCUAAUCGCAGAAAGUGUAUCGUAGUCCGGAUUGUAGUCUGCAACUCGACUGCAUGAAGUUGGAAUCGCUAGUAAUCGCGGAUCAGCAUGUCGCGGUGAAUACGUUCCCGGGUCUUGUACACACCGCCCGUCACACCAUGGGAGCGGGUUUUACCAGAAGUAGGUAGCUUAACCGUAAGGAGGGCGCUUACCACGGUAGGAUUCGUGACUGGGGUGAAGUCGUAACAAGGUAGCCGUAUCGGAAGGUGCGGCUGGAUCACCUCCU
rnacentral:rRNA from 1 species